UACGUAGGUGUCAAGCGUUGUCCGGAUUUAUUGGGCGUAAAGCGCCCGCAGGCGGCUUGCCAAGUUCGAUGUGAAAUCUCCCGGCUCAACUGGGAGGGUGCGCCGAAUACUGAGAAGCUAGAGUGUGGGAGAGGAAAGUGGAAUUCCUGGUGUAGCGGUGAAAUGCGUAGAUAUCAGGAGGAACACCGGUGGUGUAAACGGCUUUCUGGACCAUAACUGACGCUGAGGCACGAAAGCGUGGGUAGCAAACAGG
rnacentral:rRNA from 1 species